rnacentral:rRNA from 1 species
CCUACGGGUGGCAGCAGUGAGGAAUAUUGGUCAAUGGGCGCGAGCCUGAACCAGCCAAGUAGCGUGAAGGAUGACUGCCCUACGGGUUGUAAACUUCUUUUAUAAAGGAAUAAAGUGAGGCACGUGUGCCUUUUUGUAUGUACUUUAUGAAUAAGGAUAGGCUAACUCAGUGCCAGCAGCCGCGGUAAUACGGAGGAUCCGAGCGUUAGCCGGAUAUUCUGGGUGUAAAGGGAGGGUAGAUGGGGUGUUAAGUCAGUUGUGAAAGUUUGCGGCUCAACCGUAAAAUUUCAAUUGAUACUGGCAGUCUUGAGGACAGUUGAGGCAGGCGGAAUUCGUGGGGUAGCGGUGAAAUGCUUAGAUAUCACGAAGAACUCCGAUUGCGAAGGCAGCUUACUAAACUGCCACUGACAUUGAUGCUCGAAAGUGUGGGGAUCAAACAUGAUUAGAUACCCUUGUAGUC